rnacentral:rRNA from 1 species
UGGGGGACAACGUUUCGAAAGGAACGCUAAUGCCGCAUACGUCCUACGGGAGAAAGCAGGGACCUUCGGGCCUUGCGCUAUCAGAUGAGCCUAGGUCGGAUUAGCUAGUUGGUGAGGUAAUGGCUCACCAAGCGACGAUCCGUAACUGGUCUGAGAGGAUGAUCAGUCACACUGGAACUGAGACACGGUCCAGACUCCUACGGGAGGCAGCAGCC